UACACUCCUGCGGGAGGCAGCAGUGGGGAAUAUUGGACAAUGGGCGCAAGCCUGAUCCAGCCAUGCCGCGUGAGUGAUGAAGGCCCUAGGGUUGUAAAGCUCUUUCACCGGUGAAGAUAAUGACGGUAACCGGAGAAGAAGCCCCGGCUAACUUCGUGCCAGCAGCCGCGGUAAUACGAAGGGGGCUAGCGUUGUUCGGAUUUACUGGGCGUAAAGCGCACGUAGGCGGACUAUUAAGUCAGGGGUGAAAUCCCGGGGCUCAACCCCGGAACUGCCUUUGAUACUGGUAGUCUUGAGUUCGAGAGAGGUGAGUGGAAUUCCGAGUGUAGAGGUGAAAUUCGUAGAUAUUCGGAGGAACACCAGUGGCGAAGGCGGCUCACUGGCUCGAUACUGACGCUGAGGUGCGAAAGCGUGGGGAGCAAACAGGAUUAGAUACCCGAGUAGUCC
rnacentral:rRNA from 1 species